GGAGUUUGGACCGUGUCUCAGUUCCAAUGUGGCCGUUCACCCUCUCAGGCCGGCUACUGAUCGUCGCCUUGGUGGGCCGUUACCUCACCAACUAGCUAAUCAGACGCGGGUCCAUCUUACACCACCGGAGUUUUUCACACUGAAUCAUGCGAUUCUGUGCGCUUAUGCGGUAUUAGCAGUCAUUUCUAACUGUUAUCCCCCUGUGUAAGGUAGGUUACCCACGCGUUACUCACCCGUCCGCCACUAAGUAUCCCAGUUGAGUCAAUCCAAAGCAAGCUUCUUCAAUCCUCGGGCGGAAUACUCCGUUCGACUUGCAUGUGUUAAGCACGCCGCCAGCGUUCAUC
rnacentral:rRNA from 1 species